rnacentral:rRNA from 1 species
GAUGAACGCUGGCGGCGUGCCUAAUACAUGCAAGUCGAGCGAACGGACGAGAAGCUUGCUUCUCUGAUGUUAGCGGCGGACGGGUGAGUAACACGUGGAUAACCUACCUAUAAGACUGGGAUAACUUCGGGAAACCGGAGCUAAUACCGGAUGAUAUUUUGAACCGCAUGGUUCAAAAGUGAAAGACGGUCUUGCUGUCACUUAUAGAUGGAUCCGCGCUGCAUUAGCUAGUUGGUAAGGUAACGGCUUACCAAGGCAACGAUGCAUAGCCGACCUGAGAGGGUGAUCGGCCACACUGGAACUGAGACACGGUCCAGACUCCUACGGGAGGCAGCAGUAGGGAAUCUUCCGCAAUGGGCGAAAGCCUGACGGAGCAACGCCGCGUGAGUGAUGAAGGUCUUCGGAUCGUAAAACUCUGUUAUUAGGGAAGAACAUAUGUGUAAGUAACUGUGCACAUCUUGACGGUACCUAAUCAGAAAGCCACGGCUAACUACGUGCCAGCAGCCGCGGUAAUACGUAGGUGGCAAGCGUUAUCCGGAAUUAUUGGGCGUAAAGCGCGCGUAGGCGGUUUUUUAAGUCUGAUGUGAAAGCCCACGGCUCAACCGUGGAGGGUCAUUGGAAACUGGAAAACUUGAGUGCAGAAGAGGAAAGUGGAAUUCCAUGUGUAGCGGUGAAAUGCGCAGAGAUAUGGAGGAACACCAGUGGCGAAGGCGACUUUCUGGUCUGUAACUGACGCUGAUGUGCGAAAGCGUGGGGAUCAAACAGGAUUAGAUACCCUGGUAGUCCACGCCGUAAACGAUGAGUGCUAAGUGUUAGGGGGUUUCCGCCCCUUAGUGCUGCAGCUAACGCAUUAAGCACUCCGCCUGGGGAGUACGACCGCAAGGUUGAAACUCAAAGGAAUUGACGGGGACCCGCACAAGCGGUGGAGCAUGUGGUUUAAUUCGAAGCAACGCGAAGAACCUUACCAAAUCUUGACAUCCUUUGACAACUCUAGAGAUAGAGCCUUCCCCUUCGGGGGACAAAGUGACAGGUGGUGCAUGGUUGUCGUCAGCUCGUGUCGUGAGAUGUUGGGUUAAGUCCCGCAACGAGCGCAACCCUUAAGCUUAGUUGCCAUCAUUAGGUUGGGCACUCUAAGUUGACUGCCGGUGACAAACCGGAGGAAGGUGGGGAUGACGUCAAAUCAUCAUGCCCCUUAUGAUUUGGGCUACACACGUGCUACAAUGGACAAUACAAAGGGCAGCGAAACCGCGAGGUCAAGCAAAUCCCAUAAAGUUGUUCUCAGUUCGGAUUGUAGUCUGCAACUCGACUACAUGAAGCUGGAAUCGCUAGUAAUCGUAGAUCAGCAUGCUACGGUGAAUACGUUCCCGGGUCU